CUGCAAAAUAGAAAAAGACAAGAAAAACAAGCCACAAAUGAAUUUGAACAACCUGUCGAUGCAGUAGGCCGCCGACGUCCACACACUCUCUCUGCCAGUCUUGAAAAGCACCCAGGCAUUUUCCAGUCGAUUGUUCUCAGGUCUCAAAAAUCAAACAAGUUUGUUGUCAAGCAGCAAACUGAAGUUGUUGUUUUCGCACAGAAAACGUUCCAUAGAACGUCGGUUAGAUGUCUCUUGGCAACACACGUUCGAAAAUGAUUGUUUACAAAAUUGACAACUGUGUUGCCAUAGAAAUGAGUUUGGAAUUCUAUGAUUCCCUUUAGAAUCAGUUGAAAUGGCUUGUCAUCAUUCUAGUGACGUGGACGUGCUCCUUCGUAGCUCAGUUGAUAGAGCAUGACGUGUUGUAAACAUUGCUAAAAAGAUGGAUAAUGAUUUCAGGGAUUUUUGUGAUGAUGAGUUAUCUGAAAUUGAGAUAAAAGACUGUAUUAAAAGCCUUAAGGACAAUAGGUCCCCUGGAAGUGUAUGUUUAAUAAGCGAGUUUUAUAAAGCAUUCAAUGAUAAAUUGAUUCCUUUCAUUCUUGCUAUGUUUCACCAAUCAAUAGGAAAUGGGGAGUUAAUGGCUUCCUUAAAGCAAGGUGUAAUUACUUUGAUUCCCAAACUUAAUAAGGAUACUCUUUAUAUAGACAACUGGAGAACCAUUAGCCUGUUGAAUAAUGAUGGGAAAUUUUCACAUUAGAUAUUUUCGCAUCAGCUCUUUUUCAGAGCAUAUCUGAUUGGUCAAUAGAGCAAUUACUCAAAACAAUUGACUGAAUUGGGCUGCCUGUCUCAACAAAGCCAUAGAAACCUGGACAUGCUCCAGCUGAAAUGUUCCAUCCUGUCAGUACUGAUGUUGAACGGCAUUAAAUACACUUUUUUUGUUCUCUCCCAAACCCUGUAGGUUUGUUGAACAUGAGUGGAAAUGAAACUCCAGCACACUGGUAGCACUAAAGACGUGUGAGUAUAACUUUUCCAGGUGAGUUGAACCUGCCUGUGGGUGCGGUAGGGAUAUUCCUGGGAGGUCUACUGAUGAAGAGGUAUAAGCUUGGCGUUGUGUCUGGAGCCCAGCUGUCUUUCGUCACCUCCUUCAUGGCCUACCUCCUCCUCCCUCUGCAGUCUGGCACUAAGUGUGACAACAUUCAGGUGGCUGGUCUGACCGUGUCCUACAACGGGUCCCCUGGUGUACGAUGGCAGCCUGUUGUCAGAGUGUAACAGAGACUGCUCCUGCUUGGCUGGGGAGUGGGACCCUGUGUGUUCAGACAACGGCAUCACCUACACCUCCCCCUGCCUCGCAGGCUGCUCCAGCUUUACAGGUUAUGGCAAGAACACGGUACCAAUACUAUUAAUGUACUGAGUGUACAACACAUUCACAGGGAUGCUGGCCCAUGUUGACUCGAAUGGCUCCCACAGUUCUGUCAAGUUGGCUGUAUGUCUUUUGAGUGGUGGAUCAUUCUUGAUACACACGGAAAUCUAUUGAGCGUAUAAAACCCAGCAGCGUUACAGUUCUUGACACAAACUGGUACCCCUGGCACCUACUAACAUGCCCCGUUGAAAGGCACGUAAAUAUUUUCUCUUGCCCGUUCACCCUCUGAAUGGCACACACACACAAUCCAUGUCUCAAUUGUCUCAAGCUUUACAAUAUUUUUUUAAAACCUGUCUCCUCCUCCUUAUCUACACUGAUUUAAGUGGAUUUAACUAGUGACAUCCAUAAGGGAUUAUAGCUUUAACCUGGAUUUACCUGGUCAGCAUAAGUCAUGGAAAGAGCAGGUGUUCUUAAUGUUUUAUACACUCAGUGUAACUCAUGGCACUGACACUUACCACUGCAUAUACAUUCAGAGAGUCUAAUCUAGAGUCGGCUUUCUAUUCCACAACAAAGCCUCCUUCACUCACGCCGCCAAACUUACCCUAGUAAAACUGACUAUCCUACCGAUCCUCGACUUCGGCGAUGUCAUCUACAAAAUAGCUUCCAAUACUCUACUCAGCAAACUGGAUGCAGUUUAUCACAGUGCCAUCCGUUUUGUUACUAAAGCACCUUAUACCACCCACCACUGCGACCUGUAUGCU
ensembl:lncRNA